GGAUAACAUACCGAAAGGUAUGCUAAUACGGGAUAAUAUAUUUGAGAGGCAUCUCUUAAAUAUCAAAGGUGAGCCAGUACAGGAUGGACCCGCGUCUGAUUAGCUAGUUGGUAAGGUAACGGUUUACCAAGGCGACGAUCAGUAGCCGACCUGAGAGGGUGAUCGGCCACAUUGGAACUGAGACACGGUCCAAACUCCUACGGGAGGCAGCAGUGGGGAAUAUUGCACAAUGGGCGAAAGCCUGAUGCAGCAACGCCGCGUGAGUGAUGAAGGCCUUCGGGUCGUAAAACUCUGUCCUCAAGGAAGAUAAUGACGGUACUUGAGGAGGAAGCCCCGGCUAACUACGUGCCAGCAGCCGCGGUAAUACGUAGGGGGCUAGCGUUAUCCGGAUUUACUGGGCGUAAAGGGUGCGUAGGCGGUCUUUCAAGUCAGGAGUGAAAGGCUACGGCUCAACCGUAGUAAGCUCUUGAAACUGGGAGACUUGAGUGCAGGAGAGGAGAGUGGAAUUCCUAGUGUAGCGGUGAAAUGCGUAGAUAUUAGGAGGAACACCAGUUGCGAAGGCGGCUCUCUGGACUGUAACUGACGCUGAGGCACGAAAGCGUGGGGAGCAAACAGGAUUAGAUACCCUGGUAGUCCACGCUGUAAACGAUGAGUACUAGGUGUCGGGGGUUACCCCCCUCGGUGCCGCAG
rnacentral:rRNA from 1 species